GUCCGCUUUGGCAGCACAUUUACUAAAACUGGAAUGACACAGAGAAGAUUAGCAUCGCCCCUUCACAAGGAUAACACGCAAAUUCAUGAAGCAUUCCAUAUUAAA
rfam:Cavia porcellus supercont2_67 genomic scaffold, whole genome shotgun sequence.